AUGUCAGGCUUCCUCGAGUGGGAACAGCGACGAAGUCUGGCUUGCAGGAUUGAGGAAGACAACGGCCCAAAUAUCCUCAUACAAAAGCUGCAUGCUGGCUGUGGGAGUAGAGAUCCACGCCCAAGCAUCCCCUACACGGAUGCUGACAGCGACGACACCGUGCAGAUCAACGAUCUCGCCUCCUCCCUUGGAGCUGCUACUCGGGCCCUGCUAUACAUCCAUUGCCGCUUACAAGCCGAGGACACAGAGGAGGCGUACGAGCCAAACCAGCCGUCAACGACGGUCACCAUGUUGCCGCACUGGCGAGUCCAGCUGCGGACUAGCAGGCACAAGUCAACGGAGCAAACUGAUGGGAGAUUAAAAAUUACCAGUGGUACCAGCCGGACCUGA
rnacentral:rRNA from 1 species